CCUACGGUGUGCAGCAGUGAGGAAUAUUGGUCAAUGGGCGCGAGCCUGAACCAGCCAAGUCGCGUGAGGGAGGACGGCCCUACGGGUUGUAAACCUCUUUUGCCGGGGAGCAACGGGCGUCACGUGUGGCGCCACUGAGAGUACCCGGAGAAAAAGCAUCGGCUAACGCCGUGCCAGCAGCCGCGGUAAUACGGAGGAUGCGAGCGUUAUCCGGAUUUAUUGGGUUUAAAGGGUGCGUAGGCGGAUCGUUAAGUCAGUGGUCAAAUUGAGGGGCUCAACCCCUUCCCGCCAUUGAAACUGGCGCUCUUGAGUGGAAGAGAAGUAUGCGGAAUGCGUGGUGUAGCGGUGAAAUGCUUAGAUAUCACGCAGAACCCCGAUUGCGAAGGCAGCCUGCCAAGCCAUGACUGACGCUGAUGCACGAAAGCGUGGGGAUCAAACAGGAUUAGAUACCCUAGUAGUC
rnacentral:rRNA from 1 species